GAUGAACGCUGGCGGCGUGCCUAAUACAUGCAAGUCGAGCGAACAGAUAAGGAGCUUGCUCCUUUGACGUUAGCGGCGGACGGGUGAGUAACACGUGGGUAACCUACCUAUAAGACUGGAAUAACUUCGGGAAACCGGGGCUAAUGCCGGAUAACAUUUAGAACCGCAUGGUUCUAAAGUGAAAGAUGGUUUUGCUAUCACUUAUAGAUGGACCCGCGCCGUAUUAGCUAGUUGGUAAGGUAACGGCUUACCAAGGCAACGAUACGUAGCCGACCUGAGAGGGUGAUCGGCCACACUGGAACUGAGACACGGUCCAGACUCCUACGGGAGGCAGCAGUAGGGAAUCUUCCGCAAUGGGCGAAAGCCUGACGGAGCAACGCCGCGUGAGUGAUGAAGGUCUUCGGAUCGUAAAACUCUGUUAUUAGGGAAGAACAAAUGUGUAAGUAACUGUGCACGUCUUGACGGUACCUAAUCAGAAAGCCACGGCUAACUACGUG
rnacentral:rRNA from 1 species